GGUAAUUUUCCUACAAAGCUUUUUAAGUAUUUUAAAGCCAUGGAAAAUGAAGAUCCACAACAGCAAAUGUACCUAAAUCAGAGCGACUACUAUCAAGAUUCAUUAGUGGUAGGAAUGAAGGGGCAAUUUCGUGAAAUUGUGAAAAUACUAGUCACGUUUACUGCUAUUGAUCUCUCAUGUAACAAAUUUGAAGGGCAUAUUCCAGAUAGUAUCGGAGGUCUUCUUGCACUACGUGAAUUAAAUUUAUCACAUAACAAGUUCACCGGACACAUCCCAGCAUCUCUUGGAAAUUUAUCUAUGUUGGAAUCCUUAGACCUUUCUUCGAAUCAAAUUGGUGGAGUUAUCCCUACGCAAUUGGCAUGUAUUACAACACUUGAAGUGUUAAAUCUCUCACAUAAUAAGUUAAUGGGAUGCAUACCUCAAAGCACACAAUUCAAUACAUUUGAAGUGAAUUCAUUCCAAGGAAAUGAUGGAUUGAAAGGAAAACCUUUAUCACGAGGUUGUGGGAAUGGCAUGACACCACACCCUCCAGCACCAAAGGAACUCCACCAAGAAGACGAUUCAAGUUUUUUGAGCGGAUGCACCGUAAAAGUUGUGGCAAUGGGGUACGGUUGUGGUAUUCUUUUUGGAUUAUUCAUGGGAAGUCUCAUGCUCCUAACUGGAAAGCCAGAAUUCAUUGCAAGGUUUGUUAAAGAAGAAGCAUACAAACUAGCAAUGAAGAUCAAACGAAGAAGAUCAAAAACAAGAAGGAGAAGAAACUAGCGUCAAUGCUCACUUGGCUUCUCUCCAGAUGACAAAUACUCAAGACACAGGAUAUUGUUGUUAAAUAAGUGGUUUGGUUUGGUUUGUUGCCGCCUCAUAAGUGGUUUGGUUUGUUGCUGACUCUUAAGCCACCUCCCAAUUCAAGUACUUUCGGCUUUCAUAUAUGAUCUAUCUCUAGUUAGUUGUUGUCACAUGUUAAUUUGAGUUGUAUGGCUUUGGUCUGAUACCAAAUGUUUCAAUUCAUGCAUGAUCAAUAAUGUCAAUAAGUUCAUGUCUUA